CCUACGGGAGGCAGCAGUGAGGAAUAUUGGUCAAUGGGCGUAAUCCUGAACCAGCCAAGUCGCGUGCGGGAUGAAGGUUCUAUGGAUCGUAAACCUCUUUUAUCAGGGAAUAAAGUGUGGGACGUGUCCUAUUUUGUAUGUACCUUAUGAAUAAGGAUCGGCUAACUCCGUGCCAGCAGCCGCGGUAAUACGGAGGAUCCGAGCGUUAUCCGGAUUUAGUGGGUUUAAAGGGUGCGUAGGCGGCCCUUUAAGUCAGCGGUGAAAGUCUGUGGCUCAACCAUAGAAUUGACGUUGAAACUGGGGGGCUUGAGGAUGUUUGAGGCAGGCGGAAUGCGUGGUGUAGCGGUGAAAUGCUUAGAUAUCACGCAGAACCCCGAUUGCGAAGGCAGCCUGCCAAGCCAUGACUGACGCUGAUGCACGAAAGCGUGGGGAUCAAACAGGAUUAGAGACCCGAGUAGUC
rnacentral:rRNA from 1 species